UAUUUGGUAGACUAUUCAGGUGUGUUAGACUAGAGAUGCCUCUGAACGUUGCUGGAAAACUGCCCUUAAGGAUUGGAGUCUUAUAUUCCUGCAUGACUUCACCCGUGGCUUUCCUGCAGUAACAGCUCUGAGUGUCUGCUGUGAAAGAGAUCCGUUUUACGCCAAAAUCAAACUUCAGGCAUUUAGAGGCAGACUUCCUGGUGUGGUAUGGAUCAUUGACCUUCUGCAUAACCCCUUGAGGAUUGUUUGGUGUGCCUGGUUGUGUUUCCCUGUGAUGGACUGGCAACUUGUCCAGGGUUGUACCCUUGUAUCCUCCUCGCCCGUAGACCACUGGAAAUAGGCACCAGCUCCCCGUGACCCUGUACAGAAGAAGCAGAUGGAGGAAUCGAGAAGGAUAAAACAUGCUGCUCACAUUGACGAGACUGCAGAUAUACAGGCUUGGUCCACAAACCUAGUCCUUCUGGAAAGGUACGCAUGCCCAGAACUCCUCCACCUGACCCUACUGGUCCAGAUCUACCAACCAAGCUCGUCCCAAUACCUGAUCCUCUGACAUGUGGUCAAGAUAGAUGCUGUUCAGACGCUCUUCAUCCAACCUGACUGAGAAGAAUGGGCGGACAUUUCCGUCUCUAGAUGUUCAAGCUGAAAUCCCAACAACAUAUAUUAAGCUGGAAAGACAUUUCGAGGUCUUCUGUCUGCGUCACGAAGUACAACCCUCAACUCCGGCCACUUCCUGGGAUAGAUGCAAUCAACCGUUUUCUGGACUGUUUAUUAUUUUAUCACAUUAAAAGCAACUUUGGAUUAAGCUCCACAAAAAACUGUA